UUAACUUGUUAAUCNNNNNNAUUGCUCUCCCAAAAAAAUAUACUGGAAACAUCCGGAUGUAGGUUAUAAUUAAGAAUGAAAGCAAAACAGCCUUCCCUAAAAGAACUGAAAUUCUUAAUUCAAACAUAUAGCAUGGUUGAUAAUGAAAGUAAAAAUGCUGAUAUAUAUUGAAAUUGAGAAGUUUAGAGAUUUUUAUUACUGACCAUCUGG
ensembl:misc_RNA